UAUUACACUCAAGCUUGGUAAACUUAUACCCCAGACCAAAUGUGGGAGCUAGGUUAAGAGAAUACAAAGGUGAAAAUGAACACUAACUCUUCUCUAGAGGAGCUCACAUUUCGGUAGAAGAAUGCGUGAGAAAGUACAUUGCCAGCAAGAUGCUUAACAGCGUAAGUGCCUCAAGAGCCCAGUAGGUGGAAUUUAAGCCUAAAAUCUCAUCGGUGGGGAAAUGGACAAUUAACGGUGUAUCUAUACAAUUUGGAACACCACGUUGCUGAGAAAAGUUGAGCAAUGUAAAAAUUGACACAGAAUUUAGAUACCUGUGAUUUGUAACACUUUGGAAACAAUCCAAGGAUCCUGAUAGACAUCAAAAAUUAGUUUGGGGGAUUUUUCCCCCCCAGAAGUGGCUGCCACACUAUCGCAUUUUGUGCUUCUGACAUGAAGGAAGCAGAAUCUUUACCUGGUAGAUUUAUUUUUGUGGGCAUCUAUCCACCGCUGGGUCUGGGACAUCACUUAAGUGAAGGUCGGUGGAGUCGCAGAGCUGUCGAAAAGCUGUGCUGAAGAAAACAAAACAUAUCAGUGACAAAUAGCCCAGGGUAUCACAGAUGGUCUUGCUAUGGCUUCCUUGACUGACCUCAAACUCUUGGGCUCAGAUGAUCCUCCUGCCUCAGACUUCUGAGUAGCUGGAUCUACAGAAUAAGACUGAUUUUGUGGGGAAAUGAAGCUAUGUAUUCCAGUUUUAGAAGACCUGAAUCUGCUGUGUUGAAAAUCUCCUUUUCUUGUCCCUUUAGGAAUGACAGAAAUAAAAGCAAAUGAGUCGUUUUAACAGGUGUUGGUAUUAAGAUGGUUUACUGUAAUAAUAAUGGCUUCUGCUUGCUUCACAACUGAAUGAAGGGAGAUAAGGACAGGUACUGGUAG
rnacentral:lncRNA from 1 species